CCCAGGCAAAGCUAAGUUCCACAGAGAACCACUCAGCCAUGUAGAAGUUGGAAGUCCUGGAGAGGGUUCAAAUGCUAUUACUCAGUAAUAUAAACGCAAAAGGGAAAAUGACAGCCUUCAGGAAGAUACUGCCUAUGGAACUAAAAAGAAGGAAAACAAAUUGAGAUACAAGGAAUAUAAAACAGCAUUUCAGAAAUUAGCUUUUCUAAGAUAAACAUUCAAAGGACGUUAUUAUGAUCUGGUUGCGUGCAAAGAUGAAAUAAGGAGAUGUUGAUAUCAAUAGGACCACAGAGCUGGGCUAACCCUGGUGUGGACAUUGGGAGCCUGGGGAUCACGUUGUGGCUGCAGGAUUGGAAAGUCCCCAUGAGUAAGCACAUGAGACAAUGAGCGGGGAAGUCCUACCCUGUGGGUAAAAUGAAGUCCCAAGAAAAUACUGUUCCUGUGGAAAUCCCAUAUCCAGUGGUUUCCUUUUCUUUUCUGCCUGCCUCAUGACCAGACUCAACCCGGAAUGUGAGACUAAGAGAAGAUAAGAGCAAUGGAUCUGCUGCCUAAUUUGUGAAAGUUUACACAACCUUUCUACGUGAAGAAUAUUGCAACUUUAAAAACAGCAUGAAAAAUUUUGUUACAUUAGGAUGCAAAAAGGGCGUGGUGGCUUAUGCCUGUAAUCCCAGCAUUUUUGGAGGCUGAGGCAGGAGGAUCAUCUGAGGUCAGGAGUUUGAUACCACCGUGGCCAACAUGGUAAAUACCCAGGAAUGGAGUGGCUUAAUCGUAUGGUAAAAAUAUUGCUUGUAUGGUAUAUCAAUAAACACAUACUUUAUAAGAAACUGUAAUCCAGCUUUUUAAUGAUUAUGCCCCUUUUUAUUCCUAUCAGCAGUAUAUAUGAGAAUCCCAGUUCCUCCACACUUUCUAUGAUUAAUCUUUUUAAUCUUAGGUAUUCUAAUAGAAUGUGCAAUGGGAUCUCCUUGUGGUUAUAAUUUGCAUUUCCCUAAGGAAUAAUGAUGUUGAGCAUCUUUUUAUUUGCUUUUAU
rnacentral:lncRNA from 1 species